CACACGAGUGUUCCUGCCACCAUGCAUGGCAUUCUGUGCACACCACAGGAGAGGCAGCUCCUCCCCUGGCCUCUGUACACUCCAAGCCGCCCAUGCCAACUUCCGUUCCCGUCAACCAUGCAGCAGCACAGCCCCAUGUCCUCCCAGACCUCUUCCGCCAGCGGGCCACUGCACUCUGUCUCUCUGCCGCUUCCACUCCCGAUGGCCCUGGGUGCUCCACAGCCCCCGCCCGCCGCCUCCCCCAGCCAGCAGCUUGGUCCAGAUGCCUUUGCGAUUGUGGAGCGAGCCCAGCAAAUGGUGGAGAUAUUAACAGAGGAGAACCGGGUGCUUCACCAGGAACUUCAGGGUUACUAUGACAAUGCCGACAAGCUCCACAAGUUUGAAAAAGAACUUCAGAGAAUUUCGGAAGCCUAUGAAAGUCUGGUCAAGUCUACCACCAAGCGAGAGUCACUGGACAAGGCCAUGAGAAACAAAUUGG
rnacentral:sRNA from 1 species